rnacentral:lncRNA from 1 species
GCCAGAAGUAAGCAUCUCCCCCCAAAGUUGGGGGGAGGAUUUUAUUAACAUCCUCUGACUGCAGGAAUAGCAUCAGCUUUGAAACCUGGAUGGCAAUCUUACUGCUUAUGUGGUUUUUGUUGUUUGUUUUUAAAUAUCUGAAUUUGACAUGGUUUUGUUUGUUUGUUACUUUUCCCCUACAGAUUAAAAGCACUGGGAGUGAAGUCAAAUUGAGGAAGAACCUCCUUGGGUGGGCAGAACAAAGUCACAGAGCCCAUGGGAAGGCAGUGCCGCAUGAUGAGGAGCUGUGCCAGGGCUGGAGAAAGCCUGAGUCCUGCUGCAUCCCGAAGGAAGCAGAGAUGAUGGGCUUGUGUGGCUUCAAGCAUAAGCGUGAUGUUACCACAGCGUUGCUCCAUCAGCAGGCAGCGGCACACAGCAGGGACGGAGCCAGGCAUGCAGCAUGGCCAGCACACAGCCCUGCCGAGAGCCCACCAUGCACUCCUCUGCCUUGCGUCACCACUUCAGCCCAAGCUCCUGAGCCAACGUCUCUGCCCCACAUUCAGCUCCAAGCAUUCUGAAGGUGAGUCUGUGCCACCUUGCCCAGUGUGAUGCACUGAUUGAUGCUCUGUUGCAGUCAUUACAUGUCCUGGUGGUUUGCAGGAUAAUGCUGUGCAACUUAACGAUAUCACAGUUGCACAAAUCAAGUGGAAGAAGCCAAGGUCUAGAAUCUCCAGCAUUCAAUUCUUCUAAUGGCCUUGGGCUCAUCUGCAGCAGGCAGGGUCACAGGGCAUGGUUUAUAGAAAAAUUUCAUACCUGAACACCCCAAAAGCUGUUGCAGUGGCCUGGGGUGCUUGGCCUUUCAGGGCCCUCAGUGAUACUUACACAGAAUGUAUGGGCAGAAGACUGAGUGCCAACAUGUGCUCUUGGAUCUCAGUUAGUAAAGUGUGACUCUGCAAGUUGUUUCAAUAAAUCAACUCUUUGAAAUUUAAUGAGGGAACUG